rnacentral:lncRNA from 1 species
GUUUCACUUGCUCCCAAAAAGGAAGGCAAGUUUUCCUGCUUCCAUGAUGAAGAGUGCAGGUAACUCCUUUCUGGAAUUUCAGCUCACUUCCAACAGGGAAGGCGAGUUUGAGUUUUUUCCUGCUUCAAAGAUGGUAGAGAGCAGUGUUCAGCCUGAGCCCCAUUCCUAGAUUCUGAAGGAAACAGACAGCACAACAACAACAGCCUCUCUCAGUCCUCACCCAAAUCUUUCUUCUGAAAUUGGAUGCUGAUGGCCACCAAACACGUUUUUAAAAGACCAGUGCAGUUUGAAGAACAGAGUCUUACUCCGUUGCCCAGGCUGGAGUACAAUGGUGCGAUCUUUGCUCACUGCAACAUCCACCUCAUGGGCUCAAGCGAUUCUCCUGCCUCAGCCUCCUGAGUAGCUGGGACUACAGAUGUAGGCGAAUAACAUGAACAUUGCUUCAUCUUUGUUCCACAAGUUUCUGAGACAGCACCGGUAGGUAUGGGUCUCCCUCCCACUGGGCUGUGGCCGCAAAGCGAGCAUCUUUCUCCUGGGCGCCCCAUGCCUCCUCCAGCACCUGGCAUGUAGUAUAAGCUCAAUGAGUGUUCAUUGUAUGAACGAGUGAGUCAAUGGCUGAGCAUUCGUGAGGCUGGAAAAUUUAAUCUUCCCGAUUUAGUCUGAUAAAUGGAUUCCAUUUUAUGCUCGGAGAGCAAGGGCCUCAAAAGGUGUAACCAAGAGCAGAGGUCAGCAAACUGCAGCCUUUGAACGAAAUCCGGCCCAGAAGUGAAAACAUUUUUAGAUGAACAUUGGCAAUGGAUUUGCUGAUACAGAACACUAACUUUAAAUUCCAACCAAGCAGAAUGUUAGCACCUCCAAAAAUGAUUCCAUUCUUCUCAUUAUUAAACCUAUACUACAAAAAAACUGCCUUCGAUUAUUAUUAUUACAUUUUGAGUUUCAUCAAUUACAUAAUUGUGGAAAUUUUUAUUUUACUAUAUAAGUAGCUACAUAAUAUGCCAAAUUUGCUUCUUGGCCUGUAAAACCUAAGAUAUUUGCCAUCUGGCCCUUUACAGAAAAAGUUUGCUGACCCCUGGCCACAAGAAUAAAGUUUAGAACGGGAUGUGAUAUGUUUCAUCUUGCCUUACACCCCAGGAGUGGGAGAAAACCAAAUUGGCAGCAGGGUGGGCAGAGAUGACAUCCAUAUAUAAAUGGACUGUGGAACACCUUGUUAUGAAGGAAGGCCUGUCAGCAGUCAAAGAAUGGCUUGGGUGGGUAUACCUAGAUGGACCUCUAAAGAUCACACCCUAAGGGAAUUCAAGACCUGGUGCAUGGUUUGAGAGGUGAUUCCUGUGACAUCAGAGAGUGCAGCCUGGGCCUUCAUGGGCAAACCAAAAACAUUUGUGAUUGUAAACCCAAAGGCCUCGGCUGGCCGCAUCCAAGUCUCUUGGUUUCCCUCCAAACAUUUGCUUGGAAAUAAAGUAAAGAAAGUAAGUAAGAAUGGAUCGAGUGCAGUGGCUCACACCUGUAAUUCCAGCACUUUGUAGAGGCCGAGGCAGGAGGAUCACUUGUGCUCAGGGGUUUGAGACCAACCCG